CGGAAGGUCCGGGCGUUAUCCGGAUUUAUUGGGUUUAAAGGGAGCGUAGGCCGGAGAUUAAGCGUGUUGUGAAAUUGUAGACGCUCAACGUCUGCACUGCAGCGCGAACUGGUUUCCUUGAGUACGCACAAAGUGGGCGGAAUUCGUGGUGUAGCGGUGAAAUGACUUAGAUAUCAACGU
rnacentral:rRNA from 1 species